rnacentral:rRNA from 1 species
GUGGGGAAUAUUGGACAAUGGGCGAAAGCCUGAUCCAGCCAUGCCGCGUGUGUGAAGAAGGUCUUCGGAUUGUAAAGCACUUUAAGUUGGGAGGAAGGGCAGUAAGUUAAUACCUUGCUGUUUUGACGUUACCGACAGAAUAAGCACCGGCUAACUUCUUGCCAGCAGCCGCGGUAAUACGAAGGAUGCAAGCGUUAAUCGGAAUUACUGGGCGUAAAGCGCGCGUAGGUGGUUUUGUAAGUUGGAGGUGAAAUCCCCGGGCUCAACCUGGGAACUGCCUCCAAAACUGCAUGACUAGAGUACGGUAGAGGGUAGUGGAAUUUCCUGUGUAGCGGUGAAAUGCGUAGAUAUAGGAAGGAACACCAGUGGCGAAGGCGACUACCUGGACUGAUACUGACACUGAGGUGCGAAAGCGUGGGGAGCAAACAGGAUUAGAAACCCUGGUAGUCC